GAAAUGCGAUAAGUAAUGUGAAUUGCAGAAUUCAGUGAAUCAUCGAAUCUUUGAACGCACAUUGCGCCCGCCAGUAUUCUGGCGGGCAUGCCUGUUCGAGCGUCAUUUCAACCAUCAAGCCCCGGGCUUGUGUUGGGGACCUGCGGCUGCCGCAGGCCCUGAAAAGCAGUGGCGGGCUCGCUGUCACACCGAGCGUAGUAGCAUACAUCUCGCUCUGGGCGUGCUGCGGGUUCCGGCCGUUAAACCACCUUCGUAACCCAAGGUUGACCUCGGAUCAGGUAGGAACACCCGCUGAACUUGAGC
rnacentral:misc_RNA from 1 species